rnacentral:rRNA from 1 species
UACGAAGGGGGCUAGCGUUGUUCGGAUUUACUGGGCGUAAAGCGCACGUAGGCGGGUUGUUAAGUCAGGGGUGAAAUCCUGGAGCUCAACUCCAGAACUGCCUUUGAUACUGAGGAUCUUGAGUUCGGGAGAGGUGAGUGGAACUGCGAGUGUAGAGGUGAAAUUCGUAGAUAUUCGCAAGAACACCAGUGGCGAAGGCGGCUCACUGGCCCGAUACUGACGCUGAGGCACGAAAGCGUGGGGAGCAAACAGG